rnacentral:misc_RNA from 1 species
GGAGUGGGUUGUACCAGAAGUGGAUAGCUUAACCGAAAGGGGGGCGUUCACCACGGUAUGAUUCAUGACUGGGGUGAAGUCGUAACAAGGUAACCGUAGGGGAACCUGCGGUUGGAUCACCUCCUUACCGAAGAUUAAGUGCAGNAAGUGUNCACACANAUUG